UACGUAGGGCGCAAGCGUUGUCCGGAAUUAUUGGGCGUAAAGAGCUCGUAGGCGGCUUGUCACGUCGGUUGUGAAAGCCCGGGGCUUAACCCCGGGUCUGCAGUCGAUACGGGCAGGCUAGAGUGUGGUAGGGGAGAUCGGAAUUCCUGGUGUAGCGGUGAAAUGCGCAGAUAUCAGGAGGAACACCGGUGGCGAAAGCGGCGCGCUGGACCUCUUCUGACGCUGAGGCACGAAAGCGUGGGGAGCAAACAGG
rnacentral:rRNA from 1 species